AGAGGAGAAAGAUUUAUCGCCGAAGGAUUGGCCCGCGUCUGAUUAGCUAGUUGGUGAGGUAAUGGCUCACCAAGGCGACGAUCAGUAGCUGGUCUGAGAGGAUGAUCAGCCACAUUGGGACUGAGACACGGCCCAAACUCCUACGGGAGGCAGCAGUGGGGAAUAUUGGACAAUGGGCGCAAGCCUGAUCCAGCCAUGCCGCGUGAGUGAUGAAGGCCUUAGGGUUGUAAAGCUCUUUUACCCGGGAAGAUAAUGACUGUACCGGGAGAAUAAGCCCCGGCUAACUUCGUGCCAGCAGCCGCGGUAAUACGAAGGGGGCUAGCGUUGUUCGGAUUUACUGGGCGUAAAGCGCACGUAGGCGGAUCUUUAAGUCAGAGGUGAAAUCCCAAGGCUCAACCUUGGAACUGCCUUUGAUACUGGGGAUCUUGAGUUCGGAAGAGGUGAGUGGAACUGCGAGUGUAGAGGUGAAAUUCGUAGAUAUUCGCA
rnacentral:rRNA from 1 species